UCUUUUCUUUCAGUUGAUCAAUUAGCCGUGACAGGAUCUUAUCUUUCCCAUGGUCUCACGCAUUUACGCUGCCCACUGUCUUUGUACUGUUUCCAGGAGGCCUCUAGAUUCAGGAAUCUCAUGCCCACUGUUAAGAGUGGAUCACCGCUGCAUCUUAACAAGGAAUGACUCCUACAUCGUGGCACGGAUGUUUUUAUUAAUGUUGUCAACUAAUUGUUGCUAGAAUGUAACACGUACGAC
rnacentral:lncRNA from 1 species